GACGAACGCUGGCGGCGUGCUUAACACAUGCAAGUCGAACGAUGAAGCCUAGCUUGCUGGGUGGAAGAGAGGCGAACGGGUGAGUAACACGUGAGUAACCUGCCCCUGACUCUGGGAUAAGCGCUAGAAAUGGCGUCUAAUACUGGAUAUGACCUAUCACCGCAUGGUGUGUGGGUGGAAAGAUUUAUCGGUUGGGGAUGGACUCGCGGCCUAUCAGCUUGUUGGUGAGGUAAUGGCUCACCAAGGCGACGACGGGUAGCCGGCCUGAGAGGGUGACCGGCCACACUGGGACUGAGACACGGCCCAGACUCCUACGGGAGGCAGCAGUGGGGAAUAUUGCACAAUGGGCGCAAGCCUGAUGCAGCAACGCCGCGUGAGGGAUGACGGCCUUCCGGUUGUAAACCUCUUUUAGUAGGGAAGAAGCGAAAGUGACGGUACCUGCAGAAAAAGCACCGGCUAACUACGUGCCAGCCGCCGCGGUAA
rnacentral:rRNA from 1 species